GUGGGGAAUAUUGGGCAAUGGGGGAAACCCUGACCCAGCGACGCCGCGUGAGGGAAGAAGGCCUUAGGGUCGUAAACCUCUGUUGUGUGGGAAGAAGAGCGUGACGGUACCACACGAGGAAGUCCCGGCUAACUACGUGCCAGCAGCCGCGGUAAUACGUAGGGGACGAGCGUUGUCCGGAUUUACUGGGCGUAAAGGGCGCGUAGGCGGUCAUUUAAGUCAGCUGUGAAAUGGUUUGGCUUAACCGGAUCAUGCGGUUGAAACUGGAUGACUGGGGUGAUGGAGAGGCAAGUGGAAUUCCCAGUGUAGCGGUGAAAUGCGUAGAUAUUGGGAAGAACACCGGUGGCGAAGGCGACUUGCUGGCCAGCAACUGACGCUGAGGCGCGAAAGCCAGGGGAGCGAACGGGAUUAGAAACCCCAGUAGUCC
rnacentral:rRNA from 1 species